AUUCGCCUCUUUCUGUGUGUUUUGUUUGUUUCUUUGUUUGCUUGUUCCCCUAUAACAGGUCAAAAUGUUAACGCUUUUGAUAAAUCAGUGUUUUCACAGCGGAGCCGUGUAGGAAGGCGGGAGUGCGUAAUGAGGGUUCAUUCAUUCUUUCAUUCAACAGGUUGCAGCUUCAGCUAUUCAUUACGUAUUACUUGAGUAACUGAUAUUACAGGUAUUGCUUGCUAAUAUGGAAGGUACACGAUUCAAGACUCCGAAGAGAUGAGAGUUUAAAGGCGAAUCUGGCACGUGUAUACGGACAAUUUGAUGACGCAUUUGUGCAAUGCACUACAGAAGAAGGAACGUCCGAAGCAGCUUGGCAACGUGUAAAAUAGGUAGAAAAAGAUGUCCUAACUGAAAAGUGUGGAUUAUUGGCCUUUACCAGACAGGAGGAUCAGCCUGGAUUCCCAGCCUUCCUUGGUCCAAACUACCCCACUGUCACCUGAUGUCAGCCUCUGAUGUUCCAUGUAUAAUUAAUGUGGUCACCCUGGUAACCAAAUCCUAACUGAAAGUAAUCUCUUCACCCAACGUGGAGCUGGAACUCAUAACCCUGAGAUCAAGAGUCACAUGCUCCACCGACUGAUCCAGAGCCAGGAACCCCUCUGUUCUAACUGUAAAAGGAAAAUAAAGAAGAUAAUCGAUGGUGCAAAAGAUUGUAUAGAAAGAGAAUGAAUUACCUGACAAUACUCAGGGUUCUUUCUGUUAUAUAUAUCCUUUGGAAAAAAACUAUGGUGCUCUAAGCAUUUAUGUAACUUAAGAAAUUUGGAGUCUCUGGUUGAAAAGCUACAGUUUGAAGAGGAUUUAUAUUUUUUAAAAAUGAAAUAGCCAAGGCUUGGACUGUAUUAAACAUCUGAAAACACAAUAAAUAAGGCCAAAUUAAAUGGUGGUGGCGAGAAGGGUACAUGGUAGGCUAACUUGAGCAGCAACCAAUAACAGUAAAAAUACAGUUUAAAUGAUCAUCAAGGGCCAGACGCAAAGGUAAUUACUUCUUUCUCUGUUUUUUUAAUACCAGUUUUAUUGAGAUAUAAUUAACAAUUCACCAUUUAAGGUAUAUAGUCCUAUGGGUUUUAGUAUGUUUACAGAGUUGUAUAGCCAUCACCACAAUCAAUUUUAGAAUAUUUUCAUCCCUCCCCAAUAAACCCUGCCCAUUAGUAGUCACUGCCUUUUCCUCACUACCCUC